rfam:Phaseolus vulgaris cultivar G19833 chromosome 6, whole genome shotgun sequence.
AGGUGCGAUCAUACCAGCACUAAUGCACCGGAUCCGAUCAGAACUCCUCAGCUAAGCGUGCUUGGGCGAGAGUAGUACUAGGAUGGGUGACCUCCUGGGAAGUCCUCGUGUUGCACUUC